CAGUCGCCGCGGGAAUACGAAGGGUGCAAGCGUUAAUCGGAAUUACUGGGCGUAAAGCGCGCGUAGGUGGUUUGGUAAGAUGGAUGUGAAAUCCCCGGGCUCAACCUGGGAACUGCAUCCAUAACUGCCUGACUAGAGUACGGUAGAGGGUGGUGGAAUUUCCUGUGUAGCGGUGAAAUGCGUAGAUAUAGGAAGGAACACCAGUGGCGAAGGCGACCACCUGGACUGAUACUGACACUGAGGUGCGAAAGCGUGGGGAGCAAACAGGAUUAGAUACCCCGGUAGUCCCUGUCUCUUAUAC
rnacentral:rRNA from 1 species